AUGCGAUGAUGAUAAAG
rnacentral:sRNA from 1 species